ensembl:lncRNA
CACGGUAUGCACCCAGGGCAGGUGGUCCAGGGGAAAGAGGGGCGAAGUCACAGCCAGAGGGCGGGAGGCACGGAGGAGCCUGAGUGCUCCGGGGCCCCUGUAGCUGCAGCUUUUCAGUUCUUUCUCUUCAGGCUUCUCCCUGAAGGGAGGGGACGGAGGCAGCUCGGCCCCAGCUUUCUCCAGAGACAGGAGGAGCCGCUUCUCAGGACGUCCCAGGAGCCGGCGCUGGCUCCCGGGCCCGCCCCUGUCGCUGGCUUUCCCAGCUCUGCAGAGACACUGAGCCACGAAUGGUUUGACCCCUCCUGUCUGGGAGCGGCGAUGCGUGCUCCCACCCUGGGGCCGCCAGGAUGAAGGGCGGACAUGGGGGAGUCCGGGCAGCAGCAGGGGGUCCCAGGGCUGGCCCCCGGGCACCGCUGCAACCCUGGAGGUGGCCGUGGCUGGAAGAGGCGCUUUGCUGGUUAGCUUUCUGCCCUCCCCUUGUGGGAGGGGGAGGUACGGGGGCUGUGAGCCUAGGUCAGGGCUCAGUGCCUCCUGGUGGGCGUGUCCAGGACUCCCUCCCCAGAGCUCCAGGGGCUGUGCAGGAGGCAGGGAAGCAGGAAGGGGAGUGGCCCAGAGAGGACCUGGUGCCACCACCCCUGUGCCCUCGGCUUUCCGCCCCACCCGAGAGAACUGGGCUGCAGCCAGACACUGGGGCUCUCUCUGCCUUCCGAGGUUCAUAGCACUGGCCGCACUGGCGCCGAGCGUGCCAGAGGCCCAGCCAAACGCGUCCGGAGCUUCAGAAGGGAGAUUAACUCACAGCGCCUCCCGGCAGUGGCUUCCAGAGGUCUCGCUGCCCAUCGGGUUCUGUAGAGCAGUUACUGCUUUUGGACGGGAGAAACGCCACGGCCUCCGCCCUGGGAACCGGGACAGUCAAGCGCACACAUCGACUUCUUGGGUAGGUUGCAUUCGGCGGCUCCUGUGCUCAGCCUGGCUGUGCCCAGGGCUUGGGAGGGCUGAUGAGACGCAGGGGGAAUGUUGCGAAAUGGGAUGGCAGACUCGGCUCUGUGUGCCCCCUCCACCUGCCGCUGGACACUUCCUGUACUACGGCCACGUCCAGGGCUGACAGGGAGGCAGCCUCAAGCCUUCAGGGACGGGGCAUCCGCUGCUCCCUCCAAUGCCCUGGGCAGACGGCUGUGUCCUUGGCUGUACCCCCUCCUGUGGGAAGACCAGCACCUGCCCGGGAAGAGGGCACACCUGGGGCAGGCGUCUCCUUGCUGUGACUGUCCGUCCCCGUGCUGGUCCGGCUCCACUGGCGGAGGAUUCUGUGUGGGGCCAUUUCCUGGCGGGCAGCUCCUCCUCUCCCUGGUAGCUGCAUGCCAGGUCCCCGUGGUAGCAGGUCCUACUCUGGCUCCCUCCCUUUAAGACUCCUUUGUUAUUCACAAGGAUUAAAAAUAGAUGGUGUGAAAAGUGAAGCAGACGCUGUAGUCACUGAUGGGGGUCGUGCGCGGAGGUUUUAUGAACGAUGACCUACUUUUCCUGGCGUGGAGGUUGCAUUGAUUUCUGUCUGUGGCGCGUGAGGCGCCCACCUCCCAGCUCUGGACGGGCUGUGCUCCUGCAGGCUCGUGGUGCAUUCUGAAGGCGUAGCCCCCCCUGCACUCUUCACUCACUCACUCAUUCAUCCCUUCAUCUGUUCACCCACACACCACCCACCCAUCCACCACCUACGCACGAUCCAUCCAUCAACCCACCCAUCUACGUACUAUUG